rnacentral:lncRNA from 1 species
GCUGGUGCAAUGGAAGAGGCGCCUACUUUUUCCUUUAUUCCAUGAGGUGCAGGGUUCGAAACCCUUUACACCCAAUUUUUUACCCUUUCUUUUUUUUUUUUUUUUACGUUUUUUAGGUUUUAUUUUGCUGGUUUUAUUUCCUUUUUUCUUCUUUUUGUUUUUACGUUUUUUUCAUGUUUCAUGUUUCCUGGUUUUUUUUGUAUUUUUUUAAAUAUAUUCUUUUUAGCAUUUUUUUACUACUUUUCUUUUGCGUUUUUUUUACUGUUUUUAUUUUGCAUUUUUUAUGUAUUUUGAUUUUUUUCUUUCUUUCAGUAUUUUCUUUAUUUUUCAUUUAUUUUUAAUUUUUAGUUUUUCUUUUGUAUUCUUAAUAUAUUUUUGUGAAAAAUGUAAUACAUUUAAAAUAUUACUUUUCUUCAUAACAAUAAUAUAAUUACUUUUUAUGACGACAAUAAUUACUUGAACAAAUAACUAAAAGUAUAAGUUCUCGUGAGUAAAAAUAAC